AACGAACGCUGGCGGCAUGCCUAACACAUGCAAGUCGAACGAGAACAUUCGGGGUCUAGUGGCCCACGGUUGCGUAACGCGUGGGAAGCUGCCUUGGGGUAUGGAAUAACUCAGAGAAAGUUGAGCUAAUACCAUAUGAAGUCUUCGGACCAAAGAUUUAUCGCCCUGAGAUGAGACCGCGUAGGAUUAUCUAGGUGGUGGGGUAAAGGCCUACCAAGGCGACGAUGCUUAGCUGGGCUGAGAGGAUGAUCAGCCACGCCGGGACGGAGACACGGGCCAGGAUUCUACGGGAAGCAGCGGUGGGGUAUAUUAGAAAAGCGGCGGAAGCGAUAAACAGCUACGCAUCGUGAGUGAUGGAGGUCUUAGGGGUAUAAAGCUCUUUUUACCGGGACGAUAAUGAACGUAACCGAAGAAUAAGGCCCGGCCAACCUCCUG
rnacentral:rRNA from 1 species